AUGCGAGGCUCUGCCGCUGUGCAGGCUGUGCCGCUGGGCGCCGUCCAGUGCUGCUCCCCAGACGGGAAUCAGAGAAGCUACAGACUCCGCCCCUCGUGGGGGCCCACCCUCUCCCCCUGUGGUCCGGAUUCCAAGACCCGGCUUUGCUCCCGCCCGAGUUGCAGGCACCUUCCUGAGGAAGGAGCACCGGGCCCCCACCCUGGAGGAGGGCCAGGCUUCAGCCCCUGGGGUGCCAUGCCUGUGGGCGGGUGCUGUGUGCUGGGUGCUGUGCCUGUGGGCGGGUGCUGUGUGCUGGGUGCUGUGCCUGUGGGCGGGUGCUCUGUGCUGGGGUGCCGUGCCUGUGGGUGGGGUGCUCUGUGCUGGGUGCUAUGCCUGUGGGUGGGAUGGUCUGUGCUGGGUGCCGUGCCUGUAGGCGGGGUGCUGUGUGCUGUGCCUGUGGGUGGGGUGCUCUGUGCUGGGUGCUGUGCCUGUGGGUGGGGUGCUGUGUGCUGGGUGCCAUGCCUGUGGGCGGGGUGCUGUGUGCUGGGUGCCGUGCCUGUUGGUGGGGUGCUCUGUGCUGUGCCUGUGUGCGGGUGCUGUGUGCUGGGUGCCGUGCCUGUGGGCGGGGUGCUGGGUGCCAUGCUUGUGGACGGGGUGCUGUGUGCUGUGCCUGUGGGCAGGUGCUGUGUGCUGUGUGCUGGGUGCCAUGCCUGUCGGCGGGAUGGUCUGUGCCAUGCCUGUGGGCCGGUGCUCUGUGCUGGGUGCCGUGCCUGUGGGUGGGGUGCUGUGUGCUGGGUGCCGUGCCUGUGGGCGGGUGCUGUGUGCUGGGUGCCGUGCCUGUGGGCGGGUGCUGUGUGCUGGGUGCCGUGCCUGUGGGCGGGUGCUGUGUGCUGGGUGCCGUGCCUGUGGGCGGGUGCUGUGUGCUGGGCCAGGCAGGAACUGCGUUCGAAUUGUGGCCAAGUCAGUGUUUGUUCUCCAACAUUGCUGCUGUGGCACAAACAGCCAGACAAUGCGGUGCCAGGGGGCGGGUUUGUGCCAGUAAAACGUUAUUGGUCAACACGGGCUGUGGGCCACGUGCGGCUCAGGGCCCACAGCACCCCCGUGGGCUCCCGCUGA
rnacentral:lncRNA from 1 species